rnacentral:rRNA from 1 species
CGACUUAGGAUUCGUAGGUGACCUGCGGAGGAUCAUUA